GUCACAGAGAACUUCAACCAGGGUCCAGCAGGGUUAACAGGGCAUGAGUGGUCAGAAUUGGGGAGGGCAUGCCCACGGUGAAUAGAAGGCACAGGUCAACAGGGCUGUGGCCUCACCCUGGUGAUCCCAGCAGAGCAGCUCUGCCUCCUGCAGGAAGCUCAGGCCAGGGUGUAGGUCUGCAACAUCCUGGAGGCAGUUGGGGAUGUAUGGUGCUUACACAACCACGAGGAGGGGCCUGAACCAUGGGGCGGAACCUGGGUGUCAGGGGCGUGGCCAUAAACCACAAGACACUUCAGGGUUUGAAUUAGGGGCGUGACCUCUGCGUGAGUGACCAGGGAAUGGCUUAGGGACAAGACGUGGCCUGGCCCAGUGGGUGUGGCCAACACAAAAUCACACCGUGGGAGAACCGGACAAAAACAGUGAGGCCCUGUCUGCUGUGGAACUUAACCUUAAGCUGGGUCUGGAACACUGUUGCUGUCUCCUGCCCCGCCCACUGCUACCCUGGACUGGAAUAUAAGGAGCAGCACAGAGAUGACUUCAACCCUGCGUGACAGACGACCACUGCACGGCUCUGUAACCUGAAGGUGGGCAGGUUCGACCCCGGGCGCUGCUACGACUUCUGGGUGCCUGUGACGCCCCACAGAUGUGGCCAGCCUGCCAUGGGUGGGGCCCGUGGGUUCAGACUGGGUGAUGUGGGGUCCCAGGGUUUGGUGGUUAUGUCAUGGUUUAUACACUGAUGGAUAGCCUGGUGGGCAGGGCUCAGGCGUGAGUUCGUGGUGUUGGUUGAUGCUCCAGUCAACAGGGAGCAGGCAGGGCCUGGCAAUGACAUCAUUGGUCUUGGGACUCCAGGGACAGACGGGAGUGGCCGGGGCAUGAAGGUGAUGUCAUUACCACAAAAGAUUGACAGCCAGUGGGGAGGGCUUAUGGAUGAUGUCACCAAGGUGCGGUUUCAGAGGUUAUUGGUUGACAGGAGAACCAAGACCUACAAGCAAGGGGCGAGGCCUGGCGAUUAUGUCACAGGCUCAUAAAUGAGGGACAUACGGGUGGGGUUUAGCAAUGACAUCACUGUAGUCACAGAGAUUACUGAAGGGCAGGUGUGGUGAGGGUCGGCAUCUUCUCACGUGGCCCUGCC